rnacentral:rRNA from 1 species
AUUGAACGCUGGCGGCAGGCUUAACACAUGCAAGUCGAACGAGUGGCGGACGGGUGAGGAAUGCUUGGGAAUCUGGCUUAUGGAGGGGGAUAACUACGGGAAACUGUAGCUAAUACCGCGUACCAUAGGAUGAGCCCAUGUGGGAUUGGGUAGUUGGUGAGGUAAAGUCUCACAAAUCCGACGAUCUCUAGCUGGUCUGAGAGGAUGACCAGCCACCCGGGGAGUGAGACACGGCCCAGACACCUAGGGUGGGCAACAGGGGGGAAUAUUGCGGAAGGGGGGAAACCGAACGCAGCCAUGCGGCGGGAAUGAAGAAGGCCUUCGGGUUGGAAAUUUCUUUCGGUAGCGAGGCGUAAACUACAGAAGAAGCACGGGCAAACUCCGGCCCAGCAGCCGCGUAAUAC